AUGCCGCCGCCGGGCAGCCCUGGUCCCAUCCUCAGCGCGGCCCUGGCGCUCCCUCCUCGUGCCGGCACCCUCUGGCUCCACGGGUACCCGAGAAUCAGCCCAGAUUCCCUCCCUCUCGCUGAUGGCGGCGGUAGCAGCAUGAUCCGUAACCCAAUGGCACCGGCGCCGGGACCCACACAGAGCAAGGAGGAGCGCACCCCGGUCGUCUUCACUGACACCUCAUGCCUCGUGUCGUACUUUCCCCGCACCUCGCUGGAGCACCACAUGGCACGUGGGUGCCCGACAUCCUCAUCCGCUGCCCUCGCAAGCCACCAUAUCUAUAAUGUCGGCAUGCACACACACCAGGGACCCAACGUCGGUGGCGGCGGUAGCAGCGACAUCGUCCACACCUCACUUGAGCAACACAAAUUGUGGGGUCACGCUCCGUACCCGCCCCAACCGGCGUACUCACCAAUUGCCCCUGUGAGCCACCCUCUCUUGAACAACGUCAUGCACACCUCCCAGGGAUCCAACGUCAGUGGCGGUGGCGGCAACGACAUCGCCUCACCGAAUGCCCAUGUAAUGCUUCAGUGGGGCCAAAGGAAGCGCUCGCGUAGCCGCCGCGAGGCGCCUGCACACACUCCCGCGCCUAAACCGGAGUUGACCCCCGCCAAGGCACAGGCGGUGAAGCCGAUGCUGUCGUCGGGCGCCCGCGAGCCCAACCUCAUCUCCGACCUGUCGCUCCCUGCUCCCGAUGUCACCCUCUCUCUCCGCAGUUCUUCGGAGGAACCUCACACCGCCGCUAGCGAGAAGCAGCCAGGGGCGAAGGAGGAGAAGCAGCAGCCAGGGGCGAAGGAGGAGAAGCAGCAGCCAGCGCCCAAAGGGGAGCGUAAGAAGCAGCAGCAGCCGCAGCGUCAGGAGUCGAUCAAGGCGACAGAGGAGCAGAAAGGGAAGGCGCCCAUGGUAGAGGUGCCUCCGCCCGUCGAGGAGGAGGAGGAGGAGAAGGCGGCCAUGGCGAGGCCGGUGGUGCCGCGGAUCGUCACGCAGCUAACGCACGAGGAGAAAGAGGAGGACUGGCUGGCCAUGACGGGCACCAAGCUGCCGCGGUUCCCCCACAGGCGCCCCGAGAUAGUCCAGAAGCAAGUCAACAACAUCUGCCCAGGGGAGUGGCUCUGGCAGGCCAACAGGACCAGGUACAAAGUCAAGGAGAAGAAGUCCGAGAAGCGCGUGGGUGGCCUGAAGGGCAUGUCGACGGAUGACGAGGACUCCGACUCCGACUGA
rnacentral:rRNA from 1 species